rnacentral:lncRNA from 1 species
GUUAAGUGAAAUCCAAUCCCUACAGCUAUGCAAUACACCAACCACUCCAUUUCAUAACGAACUUCGUACGAACCUGAAUUGUCCAAUUUCAAGGACCAAUCGAUAUCGGAUUGAGUCCAAAACUUGGGGGACAUCAUAAUCUGAUAGGAGGAGUCAUUUGGUGGGUUUUGAGUGAAAUCCAAUGACAGGACUCGACCUAAAUU